GUGAUAUCCUGUCUGAAUAUGGGGGGACCAUCCUCCAAGGCUAAAUACUACUGACUGACCGAUAGUGAACCAGUACCGUGAGGGAAAGGCGAAAAGAACCCCUGUGAGGGGAGUGAAAUAGAACCUGAAACCGUGUACGUACAAGCAGUAGGAGCAGGCUUUGUCCUGUGACUGCGUACCUUUUGUAUAAUGGGUCAGCGACUUAUAUUCAGUGGCAAGGUUAACCAUCUAGGGGAGCCGUAGGGAAACCGAGUCUUAACUGGGCGUUCAGUCUCUGGAUAUAGACCCGAAACCAGGUGAUCUAGCCAUGGGCAGGUUGAAGGUUGAGUAACAUCAACUGGAGGACCGAACCGACUAAUGUUGAAAAAUUAGCGGAUGACUUGUGGCUAGGGGUGAAAGGCCAAUCAAACCUGGAGAUAGCUGGUUCUCCCCGAAAGCUAUUUAGGUAGCGCCUCGGACGAAUACUACUGGGGGUAGAGCACUGUUAAGGCUAGGGGGUCAUCCCGACUUACCAACCCUUUGCAAACUCCGAAUACCAGUAAGUACUAUCCGGGAGACACACGGCGGGUGCUAACGUCCGUCGUGGAGAGGGAAACAACCCAGACCGCCAGCUAAGGUCCCAAAUUACUACUAAGUGGGAAACGAUGUGGGAAGGCUCAGACAGCCAGGAUGUUGGCUUAGAAGCAGCCAUCAUUUAAAGAAAGCGUAAUAGCUCACUGGUCGAGUCGGCCUGCGCGGAAGAUGUAACGGGGCUAAGUAGUAAACCGAAGCUGCGGCAAUGUGCUUUUGCACAUUGGGUAGGGGAGCGUUCUGUAAGCGGUUGAAGGUGUGUGGUAACGCAUGCUGGACGUAUCAGAAGUGCGAAUGCUGACAUGAGUAACGAUAAAGGGGGUGAAAAACCUCCUCGCCGGAAGACCAAGGGUUCCUGUCCAACGUUAAUCGGGGCAGGGUAAGUCGACCCCUAAGGCGAGGCCGAAAGGCGUAGUCGAUGGGAAACGGGUUAAUAUUCCCGUACUUCUUACAAUUGCGAUGGGGGGACGGAGAAGGCUAGGUGGGCCUGGCGACGGUUGUCCAGGUUCAAGUGCGUAGGCUUAAGAGUUAGGUAAAUCCGGCUCUUUUUAAGGCUGAGACACGACGUCGAGCACCUACGGGUGUGAAGUCAUUGAUGCCAUGCUUCCAGGAAAAGCCUCUAAGCUUCAGAUUGUAAGGAAUCGUACCCCAAACCGACACAGGUGGUCGGGUAGAGAAUACCAAGGCGCUUGAGAGAACUCGGGUGAAGGAACUAGGCAAAAUGGUACCGUAA
rnacentral:rRNA from 1 species